CUGGAGGUCUUAGCGGUGUUCGGCUAGUCGAGUGUCCGUUUUCAGUUCCAGACACUCGACGGCCAAACACCGCUGUUCGCGGAUUUAAGAUGGCGGCCGCCACGUGUUCGGCUGCCGAAAUGGCGGCAGGUUCGUGCGUACAAGGGAAUGAAAUGCAAGCAAGGAGGUAAAUAGAUCCAUUAUACACAUCAGGGUGGUCCAGUUCAUUCGGUACUUUGUUCGUAUGGGGAAUUUUGGUGGUUCACAUGUCAGCUGU